rnacentral:rRNA from 1 species
AUUGAACGCUGGCGGCAUGCUUUACACAUGCAAGUCGAACGGUAACAGACCUUCGGGUUCUGCCGAGUGGCGAACGGGUGCGUAAUGCAUCGGAACGUACCCGGAUGUGGGUGUUAACGCAGCGUAAGCUGUGCUAAUACCCCAUGUUAUCUCAGGCUGCCAGCGGGUGAACGCGCAGCAACUUUUGGCCUCGCGCCUUUGGAUGGGCCGAUGUCGGAUUAGCUAGUUGGCGGGGUAAAGGCCUACCAAGGCGACGAUCCGUAGCUGGUCUGAGAGGACGACCAGCCACACUGGGACUGAGACACGGCCCAGACUCCUACGGGAGGCAGCAGUGGGGAAUUUUGGACAAUGGGCGCAAGCCUGAUCCAGCAAUGCCGCGUGGGGGAAGAAGGCCUUCGGGUUGUAAAGCGCUUUUGGCAGGAACGAAACGGUGUCCGCUAAUACCGGGCGGUAAUGACGGUACCUGCAGAAUAAGCACCGGCUAACUACGUG